UAAAGCUAUAUGUAAGUGCAAGAAAAUUUUACAAUAAGGGCAUCAUGGAAGGUGGGUGCUCCGCGUCCUCGCCCUCUGAAUUGAGCAAUGCUUCGGCUACCUCCGGUGGAGGCGGCGGCGAUGGUGGCGCUUCCAAGUUCCUUGCCAACCUCCCCUCUCGCGGCAACUUCUCCUCGACCGUUCUCUCCUCUUGCUUGGGAGGGGCACGUGUUUACAUUUGUCAUCGUGAUACAUCACCACCAGAUAACCAGGUUAUAAGAACAAACCAGACGAAUAUACUGAUCAGAUCUCUUAUGCUUAUGAAACAAAAGGGUGAUUCGGGUUCAAGAGAUGGGAAAGGAGCUGGUUCAAGCCAGGGCUCAAGGAAAAGGGCUGCUGAGAAAUCUUUGGAUGGUAAAGCUGCUGGAAAAAAAGCAAUGUCUAGCACUCAGCAUGGUUCUUCUCAAGAACUGCAGAGCUUGACAGUAGAUAAGCUUCGUGCUCUGCUUAGAGAUAAAGGCCUUUCAGCGACAGGGAGAAAGGACGAGUUGAUUGCUCGCUUAAGAGAUGGGGCUUUGGAUUAUAAGUAGACUUCUCCAAACUUCAAAAUCGUCCGUCUGUCUCUUUAAUUUUUGUCAUGAAUGGUAGCCGAGUGGAUUUGGAUCCUCCGCUCUGCACUUCUCUAUACCACUGGGUGAUGAGAACAAUCUCGAACAUAGGUCAAAGAGCUGACAAUCCUUCAAAUAUUUGGUCAUAUUUGUUAUAAUUAUAUACUAUUACCCCAAAUAAAUGCUUUCUUAAUGUAAAUGUUCUAUUUCGAAAACGCUAUUAUUGAAUCAAGAAAAUAUGUUUAAUGCAGAGA